UACUUACCUGGCAGGGGAGAUACCAUGAUCAUGAAGGCGCUUUUCUCAUGGUCGCGGCUUAUCCAUUGCGUUCCAGAUGUGCUGACCUCUGCGAUUUCCCCAAAUGUGGGAAACUCGACUGCAUAAUUUGUGAUAGUGGGGGGCUGCGUUCGUGCUUUCCCCUGGCGCUUUUGUGGUGCGAAUAGUAGAUGAGCCCAAGUCUCGCUGUACCGUCCAGGCUGGAGAAGUGGCGCGAUCUUCCCAUCUCAGGCUCCCGAGUAGGACAACCGCACGCCACCACACCCGGCUAGUUUUUUCUCUUUUUUUUUCUUUUCUUUUCUUUCUCUUUCCUUUCUUUUUCUUUUUUCGUAGCGGUUUCACCAUUCUGCUCAGGCUGGGCUCCAACUCCUGGGCUCAAGUGGUCCGC
rnacentral:snRNA from 1 species